GUUGUUCCAGUUCAAUGCAUCAUUUCCUCAUCUCCGUGGACAGAACGUGUAUUGAUCGUAAAAAAAAAUGUUCCUUUGUCUUUCUCAUGUGCUACAGAUCAAUAGAAGCAAUUUCUUUAGUGGCAGACUUGUAUAAAUAAGGCUUUGGUCUUUAAAUUGGUAUUACUUUCAAAAAGCAAUUUUUAAAAAAAAAUCCAACUUGAAGGUCUUGCUUCACUUGUAUUGCAUGAACUAUAAGGCAUUGUGAUAUCAAAGUCCAGUAGGGCAGAAAGAAACUGCCAGUUGUCUCAAGUUCAGCAGCACAUUCUUCCCAAGCACACACAGGCAACCAGACACACUGCUACAAAGAAUGGUAGUGAGUGAUUGCCAGGAUUUCAAGAAGGGGCUCCCAUAAAAAUGUGCUGUGUCAGCCAUUAAUACAAGUGACAUUCCCUAAGCAAAAACCACUCCUCCUCCUGCCACCAUAAAAGGCACCAAUUACAUAUGCCUCACUGCUCAGAAUAUUGAUAAAUCUCUUGCUGCUUAUUCCCUUCUCACCUCUCCCCCACACAUCUUUCAUCAAUCCUUGCACCACGAGAAUGGUUCUCUCUCUCUCACACACUUGCACACACACAUGCUCAGUUUUUACUGAUUUUUUUUUUUUUUAAAUUCGGUUUCCAUAUCACCCGAGUCCCACUCCUGAUCUCUAGUUAUGGGUUACUUUAACCAGAUACCUACUAACCAGAGCUCAUUCUAGAAUAAUUUAUCUUUAUUACCUGAACUAACAAUACACACACUGCAGUGUGGUAAAGGACAGUGAGACUAAUAAGGAACUCAUAGUAUUUGCAUUACUUACCCUGGGCCUUGUGGAACAACCUGAAGUGUUAGCACUAGCCUUCAUCUUCACCGUCACCUUCCUCCUAGUCACUAGUGACACUCAUCCUAGUGUCUCCAUCUACCAAGGGAUGCAGGCAUGAUAAAGCUUCUAUAAUGUGUUAUUCUGAUGCCUACUAGGGUACAUACAGUGAUAUUGUGAAGGUUAAGUCAUUUUGGCAAAAUUAUCUGGGGAUCCUCAGACAGAAGGUGCUAUGUAAAUGCAAAGUAUUAUUAUAUUUAUUAUUCAGAUCUUGUUCUUGAUUUGACGGAAAGUGUUGACUCUGGCUAUAUUUGUCUGGAAGAAUUAUUGUGAAGCUGCUAGCCAGGCUUCUGUUUUAUUAAAUGAUACUAUUUUUUUAAAAUUGAAAUUACUUGCAUAUGAUAUGGCAGGAAAACAUCUGAAGUUCCCCUCAAACUAUUUGUUUUCUCAUCCUCUUGUAGUUGCUGUUUCCCUUGAUUAAAUCCUAAAUUACAUUGAUUUUUGGAUUGUACAAAACUUUUCCUCAGAGUCCUUCAUAGUUCUUAACUUGCCUCUUAUCCCUCUUACCCUUUUCCAGCCACAGUAUGCUAAUCUAAUAAAAUCUUAUCUGCUGUAUCACUGUAUUUAUUUUCAUUGUAUGUCUGUCUUCCAUGGCUCAGUCUUGUGUUUAUUCAAGAACUGUGUUUUUGUUAUCUAACUUCAGAACUUUAGGCUAAAUUCUGUGUUCAAAUGGUAACAAUGUUGUUGAUGUUUUUCUUACUUGUCAGUUUCACUUUGCUCAGUUUUGUGUCCAAUUGUAUUACAUGUUCUCUAGGAGCAGACCGGGGCAAACUACAGCCCACGGGCCACAUCCGGCCCACAGGACCCUUCCCUUUGGCCUCUGAGCUCCUGCCAGGGAGUGGGGUCAGGACAGGCUUGCAGAGGAGCCAGCCCACCUCCCUGGCAGCACAAUGAGCGGGGUGGAGGCUAGCCCUUGGGCCCCCCCCUUCUGCUCCUCUCCCUCCCUCACAGUCACAGCUCCCCCCUGCCCCAGUGCCUGGGCAGCGUGGCUGCAGCUCCAGCUGGGCCGCACAGCAAUUGCGCUGCCAGACCUGGUGCUCCAGGGCAGCAUAGUCAGGGGGCGGGGAGCAGGGGGAGUUCCGGGGAGGCUGCAGGGGGGCAGUCAAAGAGCCUGGACCCUGCUGCCUGGGACAGGGGCAGAGCAAGCCAGGGCCCCCCUCCAUCCCCAGCAUGCUUGGCUCCCGUCCCCAGCAGCCCAGCCCAGGCAGGGAGCGAGCCCUGCCUGACUACCAGGGAGAGCAGCCAAAGGAGCAGGGGAAACACACAGGGAAAGGACUGAGCCGCCCUUUCCCCCACCCCACAUGUAACAUGGGGCAGGGAGGGUUGGAUAGGGGGCAGGGGUCCCGGGGUGUUCAGGAGCUGAGAAGCAUGGGGGAUUGGAUAGGGGAUGAGUGUCCGUGGGGAUGGUCAGGGGGCAGAGAGCAGGGGUGUUUUGGAUAA